UUUCCUCUCAUUUCCACGCAGGCGUGGGCGCGGAGAUCUGCGCACGCGUCAUGGAGUCGCCCGCGUUCUUCGAGCUGGACGCGCCGGCGUGGCGCGUGUCGGGCGCCGACGUGCCCAUGCCGUACGCGCGCUCGCUCGAGCAGCUGGCUCUGCCUACCCCGGGCAGCGUGGUCGACGCCGUCACCGCCACGCUCGGGAACCAGAUAGUACAGCAAUCCAGUGAGUCAGCGAGUCAGUGAGGAAUCUCCAGCCAGCUACCGUGUAAAUAUUCCCAUGUUAUUUAGCAUCAUUUCAUCGUCCACGUCCACGCACGCCUAUGUGAUAUUGUAUCUAUGCUAAACUCGGUUUGUAUGAAGCAAUAUAUAGAUAAAAUUUAUUUGUAAAUAAAUAUUUUAGUAAAAUGUUAA
rnacentral:lncRNA from 1 species